rnacentral:rRNA from 1 species
CUCUUAUGGGUGGCGAGUGGCGGACGGGUGAGGAAUACAUCGGAAUCUACUCUUUCGUGGGGGAUAACGUAGGGAAACUUACGCUAAUACCGCAUACGACCUACGGGUGAAAGCGGAGGACCUUCGGGCUUCGCGCGAUUGAAUGAGCCGAUGUCGGAUUAGCUAGUUGGCGGGGUAAAGGCCCACCAAGGCGACGAUCCGUAGCUGGUCUGAGAGGAUGAUCAGCCACACUGGAACUGAGACACGGUCCAGACUCCUACGGGAGGCAGCAGUGGGGAAUAUUGGACAAUGGGCGCAAGCCUGAUCCAGCCAUGCCGCGUGGGUGAAGAAGGCCUUCGGGUUGUAAAGCCCUUUUGUUGGGAAAGAAAAGCAGUCGGUUAAUACCCGAUUGUUCUGACGGUACCCAAAGAAUAAGCACCGGCUAACUUCGUGCCAGCAGCCGCGGUAAUACGAAGGGUGCAAGCGUUACUCGGAAUUACUGGGCGUAAAGCGUGCGUAGGUGGUGGUUUAAGUCUGUUGUGAAAGCCCUGGGCUCAACCUGGGAAUUGCAGUGGAUACUGGGUCACUAGAGUGUGGUAGAGGGUAGCGGAAUUCCCGGUGUAGCAGUGAAAUGCGUAGAGAUCGGGAGGAACAUCCGUGGCGAAGGCGGCUACCUGGACCAACACUGACACUGAGGCACGAAAGCGUGGGGAGCAAACAGG